rnacentral:snRNA from 1 species
GGAUGGGAGGGCAAUCUGGCUGUAACAUCUGUCACCCCAUUGAUCGCCAGGGUAGAUUGGGCUGAUCUGGCAAGCUAGGCAGUUGUCCCCUGCCUGCCUCACUGCUCUGUAUGUGUCUCUCUCAAAGCUGAGCUCUUGGUCAAAGAGGAAGACCUUCUCUGAUAGAGCAGGAUAGUCUUUGGUCAAAGGUGUAUGAGUGUUGCACUCCCCUGCUAGAAUCUCCAAACAAGUUCUGAAAAAGAGAAUGACUUAAAAGACAGAGCCAUGAACAACUUGCUUAAACUAAUACAUGAAGACAU